rnacentral:misc_RNA from 1 species
GGGGAGCUUGAGUUGGAGGAGCGAGAUGAGCGAGAAGUGAGCGAGGGCACGUCGGAGUCGUCAUCGCUGUCAAAGUAGCUAUCGUCAUCAGACUCAGAAAUUGAAGUUGCGGAGCCAGAUGAGAUGGUGGUGCGGGAGAAGCGCGAGGAGAGCCGCUCGAGAGUGUGGUCACCGUUGACAAUUUGGCGUGUCUGGUAAGGACGGUUUGGCUUGGGCGCGGCAAUCUGGGAAGGAGAGAGCGAGCGGCCCAUUGGAACUGAGGAGCUGGUGUGACGCGAGUGCCUUCGGGACGAUGACGAGGAAGUCUGCGCAGAUGAAGUUUUGGCUGGGAUAUCGAGGACGUUGAGCUUGCGGCCAGUAGUGGGCUCGGUUGUGUGCUGCUUAGCGGGAUCAUGUGAGACGUGGU